rnacentral:rRNA from 1 species
GACCGGCGCACGGGUGCGUAACGCGUAUGCAUCUACCUUUUACUAUGGGAUAGCCCAGAGAAAUUUGGAUUAAUACCAUAUAGUAUAUUUGAAUGGCAUCGUUUGAAUAUUAAAGAUUUAUCGGUAAAAGAUGAGCAUGCGUCCCAUUAGUUAGUUGGUGUGGCAACGGCAUACCAAGACGAUGAUGGGUAGGGGUCCUGAGAGGGAGAUCCCCCACACUGGUACUGAGACACGGACCAGAUUCCUACGGGAGGCAGCAGUGAGGAAUAUUGGUCAAUGGAGGCAACUCUGAACCAGCCAUGCCGCGUGCAGGAUGACGGUCCUAUGGAUUGUAAACUGCUUUUGUACGGGAAGAAAACAAACUACGAGUAGUUAAUUGACGGUACCGUAAGAAUAAGGAUCGGCUAACUCCGUGUCAGCGCCGCGGUAAUACGGAGGAUCCAAGCGUUAUCCGGAAUCUUGGGUUUAAAGGGUCCGUAGGCGGCCUUAUAAGUCAGUGGUGAAAGUUUUUGGCUUAACCAAAAAAUUGCCAUUGAUACUGUAGGGCUUGAAUAUCUGUGAAGUAACUAGAAUAUGUAGUGUAGCGGUGAAAUGCUUAGAUAUUACAUGGAAUACCGAUUGCGAAGGCAGGUUACUAACAGAUGAUUGACGCUGAUGGACGAAAGCGUGGGUAGCGAACAGGAUUAGAUACCCUGGUAGUCCACGCCGUAAACGAUGGAUACUAGCUGUUUGGUUUUCGGACUGAGUGGCUAAGCGAAAGUGAUAAGUAUCCCACCUGGGGAGUACGGUCGCAAGACUGAAACUCAAAGGAAUUGACGGGGGCCCGCACAAGCGGUGGAGCAUGUGGUUUAAUUCGAUGAUACGCGAGGAACCUUACCAGGGCUUAAAUGUAGAUUGACAGAUUUGGAAACAGAUUUUUCUUCGGACAAUUUACAAGGUGCUGCAUGGUUGUCGUCAGCUCGUGCCGUGAGGUGUCAGGUUAAGUCCUAUACCGAGCGCANCCCCUGUUGUUAGUUGCCAGCACGUAAUGGUGGGAACUCUAGCAGACUGCCAGUGUAACUGUGAGGAAGGGGGGAUGACGUCAAUCAUC